AAUUAAAAGCCAGAAUUUGUUGCCUUGAGUAGCUAGGGACUAAAAUAAAUUAUGGGUGCCAUUUACGGUGUAGUUAAGGCACUGUGAAUAAGAGAAUGAAUGUCUUCACCCUUAUAUAUUUGGAAGUCAUGUUUGCUCAAUUAUAUUGCUUAUUUGACCACAGUUGAUCCAGGAUUGAAUUCAACUACCUGACAAAAGGUGGGUUAUUUAGGGUCUUUAAGAAUGCUAGGUCUCUUUAUGCUAAAAUGAGUAAGACAAGGGAAAAAGAAGAAGGA
rnacentral:misc_RNA from 1 species